GAAAUUCCGGGUUACAAUGCUAACUUGGAUCUGGGGGAUCAAAGAGAAGUUUGAACUAGAUGUGCGUCUUUCCCAAGUAAUUCUAGAGGCGUGGGAAUAAAUUCUGGAGAUAUUUGAGUGUUUCGGUGCAAAUCGGGCACGAAACGAGUUUAGAUGAGAAUCUCCGGAUUACGACGCUAACUUUGAUUAAAUGAAUCAAAGUGAAGCAUGAGGAUAAUUUGUAGUAUUCCCGAAUUAAUUUGGAGUUGUCGGGAUAGCUAAUGGCAUAUUUUAGAAGGGUUGCGAGAUGUUUGGCGCGAAGUGGCCAGGCGAAACGAACUCAGAGUAAGGCUGCUGCUACCUGUGCAGGUUUUGCACUGGGUACCGGUACCAGAACAGGGGGGUACCGGUACCCAGUCACGAGGACUGUAUUGUAAAGGUGAAUUGUGGCUUUUGUGGAGGGUUUAGGUGCAAUUGUUUGCCCUUAUCUUUAAACCCCAGGUCACCACCAGCUUCCCUACGUACAGGGAAACAUCUCCUUUCUUCUCUUUUCAUUUCUUUUCUUCUUCUGCCUCUAAACCUAGAGUGGAUGGUGCGUUGAAGGGAGAAGUUGGUGGAUUUGAUGUUUUGGGCUGAGGAGAAUUUCAGCAGCUGGGAGAUACCUGGUGGAGAGUGAAUCCGAGGUGAGGUUAUGAUACCUCUGUGAUAGGAUUUGUAUUAUCUGCCUUAGAAGGUUUAAGCAAUGGAAUUUUGAUUGCUAGAGCUUGUGUUGCCAUGAAGAGCUUAGAGAAGGAGCUAUAUGUUGAGUGUUGUUUGGUUGUGAAGGAGUUCAAGAGCAAGGUUUCCCUGGUGAAGUGGAACCUGAGGUAAAGAGGGUGAUAUCUCUUUGAUAAGGUUCGUUCUAAUUACCCUAAAGAGGAUUUAGCUUGGAUGCUAUUGGGUUGCUAUAGCUUGUAAUUUCUAUAAAUCUUAGAGAAAGACUAUAUGCUGAAUAUAGUAUGUGAGCUCUUGGGUUGAUAUGAAGCUGUAGGAAUGAGAAAUAACAGGAGUUAAUCUCUAGUAUUCCUAAAUUAGUUGGUUGAAGUUCUUGAAUUAUUAGAGUUUGUAUUACCUUAUAAGUUCUUAGAUUGUGUAAAACCUAAACUCGAAAAUGCUAAUUUGUAGGAUUGAGGCUCUAGCUUGGGAUUAUCGCGUGGAAACCUAAUUGAGGGGAAACCGACGCGAUGGAAAGCUCGGAUCGAUGUUCCGACGAGCCUACGGCAAGCUAGUGAGGAAAACCUCAUUUUAGCCUUGUUUGUCGCGAGCAAGGAUUGCGAUCGUUCAUAAAUCGCGGGAAGUAGAUUUCUCGCAUUUCGGUAUCAUUUAAAGGUGGGUAGUGCUUCACCGAAGCAAUUAGGUCGCUUCCAAGCCAAAGUGAAGUAUGGUUCUUAUUGAUGCAUAUAUGUGUAGUGGUAGGUUGUGAUUGAUAAUAUGAAUGCAUGAAUCGUAUUAUGUUAGUUAAUGUUACGUACUAUUGAAAUAUGCAUAUGGACAUAUUGUGGAUAAUGCUAGAUGAUAUAUAAAUGUUGACACAUUGUGAACAUGCUAGAUUCAUAUGAAUUGAAUAUGGGUCGAUAACUCUAGGUCGAUUAGAGAACUCGACAGUUGCAAAGCGAGAACGUGUAAACUACAAUCCUAGGUGUGGACAACUAGGAUGAUAAGUAGAUCGAGUGGCAUGAACCUAAUGUUAGUAAACAUAGGUUGGACAUGAAUCUAGUGUCAUUGAACAUAUGUUGAAUAAGUGAACCUAGAGUCGAGAUCUAGGUGGAAAUGACAUAGAACCUAGCGUGACUGAACCUAAGUUAUGAUAUAUAGUGAGAAUUAGUGUACUUGAAACAAAGUUGUGGAUUAUAGUGGUAGAA
rnacentral:lncRNA from 1 species